rnacentral:lncRNA from 1 species
UGUGUGGAUCAAGAUGGGAUUGAUCCCUCCGGAUUAUAAGAGUUGAUGUAUCACUGUAUUUCAAUUUAGUAAAGUUUUGGCUAGGAUAAUCCAUGAGAUGAAUUUAAAAGGUUGAAAUACAAUAUGGAUGAAGCACUCUGGGUUGACAGUUAAACCUAGAUUAUUUUAGAGCAUUCAGAAUCAAAGAGAUGAAUUAUGCUGUA